GCCAAAAAUUCAACCCAACCUUACACGCAUUUUAUAAUAAUAACUUCUUUCUUUUUAUAAACCAUUUUAACAUUAUAGUAAAGGAGAUUAAAAAAAUUUAUUGGAGUUUUAACAAUAGUACCGCAAGGGAAAAGUGAAAUAUAAGUGAAAAAUUUUUAAGCAAUAAAAAGUAAAGGUUACCCCUUGUACCUUUCGCAUCAUGGUUUAACUAGUUUAACCAAGCAAAGCGUAUUUAAGUUUGAUACCCCGAAACUAAGUGAGCUACUUCGGGGCAACUUAAUAGAGUAAACUCGUCUCUGUGGCAAAAGAGUGAGGUGACCCCCAAGUAGCGGUGACAGACCUAACGAACUUAGUGAUAGCUGGUUACUCAGGAAACGAAUUUAAGUCCAACCUGAAGCUAUAAUAGUUUUUAAAACAUUACCUUAUCUUCAGCGUGAUUCAAAUAAGGUACAGCCUAUUUGAAGCAGGAAACAACCUAAACUAAAGGAUAAAACCGGCUUCUAUUUAACCUAGUAGGCCUAAAAGCAGCCACCUCUUGAACAGCGUCAAAGCUUAGUUAUUAUAAUGCCUAAUUUCAUAAACACUAUUUUAAUCCUUUAUUAAUACUGAGUAAUUCUAUAUUAUUAUAGAAAAUUUUAUGUUAAAACUAGUAACAAGAAAAAGACUUUCUCUUUAAUGUAAGUGUAAAUCAGAAAGGACAAGCCACUGAUAUUUAACAUCCUUGCACCAAAAGUAGAAACCCAUCAAGAAAACCCUACUUUCACUUAUGUUAACCUAACACAAGAACAUUACAAGAAAGAUUUAAAGAAAAAGAAGGAACUCGGCAAAUAUUAACCUCGCCUGUUUACCAAAAACAUCGCCUCUCGAGCCCCCAUAAGAGGUCCAGCCUGCCCAGUGAUUUUAUUCAACGGCCGCGGUAUCCUAACCGUGCGAAGGUAGCGUAAUCACUUGUUCUUUAAAUAAGGACUAGUAUGAACGGCACCACGAAGGUUAUACUGUCUCCUUUCUCUAAUCAGUGAAACUAAUCUCCCCGUGAAGAAGCAGGGAUAUUAAUAUAAGACGAGAAGACCCUAUGGAGCUUAAAACGUCUCAACACUUGCUUAAACAAUCUCAGAUUUCAGAACAUUUAAACUUUCUCAAGCAAUAUGAUUGUAAGUUUUUGGUUGGGGUGACCGCGGAGAACAACAUAACCUCCACGUUGAAAGAAUUUUUCUAAGCUAAGAAUUACUAAUCUAAGCAUCAACACACUGACAUUCCUUGACCCAAUAUAUUUGAUCAACGAACCAAGUUACCCUAGGGAUAACAGCGCAAUCUACUUUGAGAGCUCCUAUCGACAAGUAGGUUUACGACCUCGAUGUUGGAUCAGGGUAUCCUAGUGGUGUAGCCGCUACUAAGGGUUCGUUUGUUCAACGAUUAAAACCCUACGUGAUCUGAGU
rnacentral:rRNA from 1 species